rnacentral:rRNA from 1 species
UACGUAGGUGGCAAGCGUUGUCCGGAUUUACUGGGCGUAAAGAGCGCGCAGGCGGUCGUUCAAGUCGCGUGUGAAAGCCCCCGGCUCAACUGGGGAGGGUCACGCGAUACUGAUCGACUCGAAGGCAGGAGAGGGUAGUGGAAUUCCCGGUGUAGUGGUGAAAUGCGUAGAUAUCGGGAGGAACACCAGUGGCGAAGGCGACUACCUGGCCUGUUCUUGACGCUGAGGCGCGAAAGUGUGGGGAGCGAACAGG